rnacentral:rRNA from 1 species
GAUGAACGCUGGCGGCGUGCCUAAUACAUGCAAGUCGAGCGAACAGAUGAGGAGCUUGCUCCUCUGACGUUAGCGGCGGACGGGUGAGUAACACGUGGAUAACCUACCUAUAAGACUGGGAUAACUUCGGGAAACCGGAGCUAAUACCGGAUAAUAUAUUGAACCGCAUGGUUCAAUAGUGAAAGACGGUUUUGCUGUCACUUAUAGAUGGAUCCGCGCCGCAUUAGCUAGUUGGUAAGGUAAUGGCUUACCAAGGCAACGAUGCGUAGCCGACCUGAGAGGGUGAUCGGCCACACUGGAACUGAGACACGGUCCAGACUCCUACGGGAGGCAGCAGUAGGGAAUCUUCCGCAAUGGGCGAAAGCCUGACGGAGCAACGCCGCGUGAGUGAUGAAGGUCUUCGGAUCGUAAAACUCUGUUAUUAGGGAAGAACAAAUGUGUAAGUAUCUAUGCACGUCUUGACGGUACCUAAUCAGAAAGCCACGGCUAACUACGUG